CUUGGUGAAGGGCCUACUUGAUCAACAGGACACGCACACAAAAACCCGUCAACCUUUACAACAGGACUGACCCUUUUCUCCUCUUUCACCCAGCAUCUGUCUGCCUUUUCAGAACAUUUCAAUGUUUAAUGGAUUCUUAUUUUACAGCAUGCAGAAACCACCAGUUGCCCCCAAACCAAAGAAUGCCCAGCCACAGAGGCCAGGGCCCUCCCCCUCCUUGACCCCCAAAAGAGAUGGCCAUUUUCAGGCUUCCCUCUGUUCACCAAAGACGGUUAAACCAGCUCUGGCCCCUAAACCACCAUGCCUACCUAAACCAUUCCUCACCACUUCUGUGGAGUCCAAACCACCAUGCCUACCCAAACCUUGCCUCACCGCCACUAUGGAGUACAAACCUCUUUCCUCAAAGACUGUCCAUCACCAUCAGACUUAUUCUCAGAGACCAUCAGAGAUGUCUACAAGUAUAGGUCUUCUGAAGUCCAGGAAUACAAUACCUGAUUGGGAUAAUAUUAUUCCUAUCUGUCUGUGUAGCCAGAAGAACUGUCUGUGUGUUAGGAACAGUAUCACAACGGACACAGUGAUUAACACAAUUCCUAAAGACUUGAAAACAUUGCAUAACAAUUGCAAAACGGAGGAAUCUAGAAUAAAGCCUGUUCUCAGAUCUCGAUUUGGAGAGAACAAAGGGGUCAACAACAACAAGAGGAGAACAGUCAACAACGCUCUACCAGACAAUUGCGUACAGGUUGUGUUGCUGUCCACCAAUAACCACCUCUUAAACCCGAAACAGAACCUCAACUCGGACAUUGUGACGCCAUCAUCACGCCCUGACAUAAAGCGCCCUCUUCCUCAGAGAACGCAUAGCAAUGAAGCCAACGGUAACGUCGUCACCACCUCCUCUAAUGCCAUUGGUCACGGAGAACAGGAAGAUCCCACCAGCUCCACAGGGAUUGGCAGAGACACUGGCACAUCCAAUCAGAACCCAGCUGCCCCUAGGAAGCCCCUCCCUGUCCCCGUACCACGGAAACCCAGGAAGUCUGUUCUGGUUGGACAGGAAGUCCCAGAGGAGGGGAGGCAAGGGAGGGAAAUGACUGUCAGAAAGGUGUCACUGGAGAGGAAAAGCAGCCCAUCUCUGUCUGUCAACGCACCUGCUACUCAGGCACACAACAUCCCAGAAAGUCCUGCCAGUACAAAUGAUAGCUGGGAGGGUCUCCCAUCCUCCAGGACACCCGGCCUGCCACCUGUUCCUGCUCCCCCUCCCAGAAAGGAAGCCUUUCUUUCUGAACCUGAGAGAGCAGCACCAACCUCCUCUGCCACCUCCUCUCAGCACCUCCUCCCCACCUCCUCCCCUCUGCACCUCCCUCAGGAUAUAGAGGAGGAAGAGCUGAGAUGGGUGGAUGACGGUGUCUGUGAACUGGAGUGUUCAGUGGACAAGGAAGAGGAGGAGGAAGGGAGGAAUGAAGAGGAGAUCCAUGAUAAGAUUAGUUGUCAUCCUCUCGCAACCAGUCUUUCCAACCAGCUGGAGCUCAGCUCCAACUGCCACUUUCCCCUCACCUUAAUAACCACUGGGAGUUACAAAGAAAACGCGAGUGCUCAAAACAAGAUGGCCGGCUUCCCCAAGAAACUGCAGAGACGCAGCUCCCCAGAAGCGUGGGUACUGAAGAAUGAACUGUCAGAAGAGAGAGAAGUGGAGGAACGAAAGACUUCCGAUAGUGACGAUGAUGGAGGUGCCCUCACCAAGGCCACGAAAGCUAUGAGAAAGCUCCCUGCAACCCCAGGAGAGGAUAAACCAAAAAGGAACAGAAUCUUUCAGACGCUGGUGUCUCCUGUAUCCCGUAAGAGGAGCACAGACAACACACAGACAAAGGGCAGCCUGCCAACAGAUGAAACACUGUCACCAUCCAGGCCCUCUCGCUCCAGCCGGGGGAAACAGAAGGCCAAGUCCUUCUCCUCUGCCGACCUGACCCCCUCUGAGGGACAGAAAUGGAACUCUUUUCGGAGGCUUCUUGAUCUGAAACUCUCUGUCAAGAGGCUGCCCAAGCUGCUAACCAAGGGAGGCCAGUCUCUAGACACCACUGCAGCUGAGGCAGAACAAUAUGAGGAUGAUGUAUUCCAAGACCGUGGCGUCUGUUUCCAGGAACGUCUGGGCAUUCGGGUGGGGGAUGCACGCAAGUUCUCCUGUCCCCAGCUGGGGGUGGUUGGGGUUGGGGCGGAGCAGAGCGUGGACGGGGAUGAGAUCCACUACCCCGGAGCGGAGCAGGCUGUGGAGUAUGAAAAUGUUCCCUAUUACGAGGCCAUACCUGAGUAUUUUAUCCAGCCUGUUGGACUGGGAUUACGGGGGAGUGAGCUGGGGGUGGGUACACCUCCGGACCAGUCAGAGUGCCACAAUCACCUGUAUGAUGAUGCCGAUAUCUAUGAGGAACAGGAGCCGUACCAUCCCCUGAAGAGACACAGUGAACACAGCAGCACUGAGAGGAGUUCUAUAGAUGAGGACGUUGGCCCGCUAGAUGAAGGUCCGUCAGAUGAAGACGUCAUGGUUCAGAGUUCAGAUGACGAGGAUGAUGAGAGUUCCUCCUCUAGCAAAGGAGAACCUGAGAAGCCUGAGGAGAGGGAGGCUGGCAGUGGUGCCAAGCGGAACAAGAUAGUCCACAUCGCCAGAGAGAUCAUGAGCUCCGAGAAUGUAUUUGUCAACGUCCUGAAGCUUCUCCAUAUCGAUUUCCGUGACGCGGUGGCGAAGGCUUCUCGUCCGAGUGGGAAGCCUAUUAUAGAGGAGGCUAUUCUGAACCAGAUCCUGUACUAUCUGCCCCAGCUCUACGAACUGAACCAGGACCUGCUCAGAGAGCUGGAGGACAGGGUCGCCCAGUGGGAUGAACAUGGUCGUCUAGCUGACAUCUUUGUGAAGAAAGGGCCUUAUCUGAAGAUGUAUUCCACAUACAUCAGAGAGUUUGACAAGAAUGUGGCUCUACUAGACGAGCAUAGCAGGAAGAAUCCAGCCUUCGCUGCAGUGGUGCGGGACUUUGAGGCUGGUCCUCGCUGUGCCAGCCUGGCUCUGAGGCAUUACCUGCUGAAGCCUGUUCAGAGGAUCCCUCAGUAUCAGAUGCUGCUCACAGACUACCUGAAGAACCUGUCUCCAGACUCGGCAGAUUACAAAGACACACAAGCUGCUCUGGGCAUCGUGAAGGAGGUGGCCAACCAUGCCAAUGACAUCAUGAAACAGGGGGAUAACUUCCAGAAGCUGAUUCAGGUUCAGUGCCGUCUGAACGGACACCAUGAGAUCGUCCUGCCUGGGAGGGUGUUCCUGAAAGAGGGUGUUCUGAUGAAGCUCUCCAGGAAGGUCAUGCAGCCCAGGAUGUUCUUCCUGUUCAACGACACGUUGCUGUACACCACACCAGUUCAAUCUGGCCAGUUCAAACUCAACAACAUGCUGUCUCUGACUGGGAUGAAGGUCAGCAAACCCAGCCAAGAGGCCUUUCAGAAUGAGCUGACCAUUGAGAGUGUGGAACGCUCCUUCAUACUCUCUGGCAGUUCUGCGGUUGAGAGAGAUGAUUGGCUGGAGGCCAUCUCCACAGCGAUCAAUGACUACACCAGGAAGAAGAUUUCCUUCAUCUCCAGCAAGACUCUGGAGGAGACUGGGUCUGAGGACAGUGGCAGUGGGGCCCCUUUGGGAUCUAAGGCCCCUAUCUGGAUCCCAGACCCAAGGGCCACCAUGUGUAUGGUCUGUACCUGUGAGUUCACCCUCACCUGGAGACGACACCACUGCCGAGCCUGUGGAAAGGUGGUGUGCCAGUCCUGCUCCUCCAACAAACACUGUCUGGAGUAUCUGAAGAACCAGCUGGCCAGAGUGUGUGAUCAGUGCUUUAUUGUACUACAGCAGAGAAGUGAAAAGGACCUGUCUGCAACUCUCUCCCCUGGUGGAAAAUCCUCCUUUGCUUUCGCCAGGAAAACGAAGAAGAUCCCUGCUGCCCUCAAGGAGGUGUCAGCGAACACAGACAACUCGUCUAUGAGUGGAUACCUGCAGAGGUCAAAGGGCAUUAAGAAGCAGGGGAAGAGGCUUUGGUUCGUCAUCAAGAACAAAGUCCUGUAUACGUACGCUGCCAGCGAGGACGUGGCAGCGUUAGAGAGCCAGCCAUUGCUGGGCUUCAUGUUGAAAGAGGAGGAAGAAGGGGCAGGACCGCCAGUUCAGAAGCAACAGUUCAAGCUCUAUCACAAAAACACGCUGCAUUACAUUUUCAAGGCAGACGACAGCCAAACUGCCCAAAGGUGGAUAGAUGCGUUCGAGGAAGCUAUGGUGCUCUAACCAUCAUUCUCUGUACCUGCAGUCGAUGAACUGUACCUAAAGCAGUGACGUUACGAAGAGACCCCUUCUAAAUGGACCCGAGGACAACUAGAUCCCUUCUGAACGGACACGAGGACAACUAGAUCCCUUCUGAACGGACACGAGGACAACUAGAUCCCUUCUGAACGGACACGAGGACAACUAGAUCCCUUCUGAACGGACCCGAGGACAACUAGAUCCCUUCUGAACGGACCCGAGGACAACUAGAUCCCUUCUGAACGGACCCGAGGACAGCUAGAUCCCUUCUGAACGGACCCGAGGACAACUAGAUCCCUUCUGAACGGACCCGAGGACAACUUGAUCCCUUCUGAACGGACCCGAGGACAACUAGAUCCCUUCUGAACGGACCCGAGGACAACUAGAUCCCUUCUGAACGGACCCGAGGACAACUAGAUCCCUUCUGAAUGGACCCGAGGACAACUAGAUCCCUUCUGAAUGGACCCGAGGACAACUAGAUCCCUUCUGAACGGACACGAGGACAACUAGAUCCCUUCUGAACGGACCCGAGGACAACUAGAUCCCUUCUGAACGGACCCGAGGACAACUAGAUCCCUUCUGAACGGACCCGAGGACAACUAGAUCCCUUCUGAACGGACACGAGGACAACUAGAUCCCUUCUGAACGGACCCGAGGACAGCUAGAUCCCUUCUGAACGGACCCGAGGACAGCUAGACCCAUUCCGUAUAGAUCUGGUCAGAUCCAGACCCGAUCAGAGUGAGGGAAGCAGCAGAAAAUUGUAAUUAAUUUUUUAAAAGCUACUUUAUUAACUGGAGCUGAUAAAACGCGAGGAGAGAGGGGCCGUACUGUGAGCGAGUAACACAGGGAGGGGGGAGGGAGAGACAGCAACCGACAAAAAGCCGACUCGUGCUAUAGUAGACUAAUAACUGCCGUAGCUAAGUUAUUUUAUUCAUCAUCAAAUAUGAUUGGACUGCAUCAAGCCGGGAGAAGCUAGUUAAGCUAGCUAAUGCUAGCUAGUUAGGCUAACUGAGGCUGCAAUGCAUGUGCCUUGUCAUACUACAGUUACAAAUAACAACUCCAUUCAGAAUAUUGAGUAGCAGCCUGCCUACCUGUUGGCUCUUGGUCGUUGUAGCCUAUCCUUCUCCAACUUUUAAUUAAGUCCAUUUAAUUCCAUCUUCCAUCGAUUAGAUAUCCUAACUUUUGACACACAGAGGCUCUAUGACUGCAACCUAAUACCGCUUUGAUGACUUAUGAUUGGCCAACGACAAGCUAUUGGCCAACCACAAGCUAUUGGCCAACAACAAGCUAUUGGCCAACCACAAGCUAUUGGCCAACCACAAGCUAUUGGCCAACAACAAGCUAUUGGCCAACAACAAGCUAUUGGCCAACAAAAAGCUAUUGGCCAACAAAAAGCUAUUGGCCAACAACUUGCUGGAUCCACGGGCUUCACGCUUGUGAAAAGCAGCAGCAUAAAUGAUCAAACGUCUCUCUCUACUUCAGCAGUUGCAUUCUGGUCUGUACGGGCCAGUUAAAUGUUCACAUACCCAAGACAAUUCUAUCAGAUCCGACCAAGACCUGUGACACUCAUUUAGAUUUCUGGAUCUGGACUCGCUCGGGUCCCGGAUCGGGUCUCGGGUUUUCGGGUACAGGUGGAUCCAUGAACACCUCCUUCUAGCCCAAUGAUUCGUGGUAGUGUAACAGCUGUCCAGCGAAGACAAUAAGACUGGUCUCAGCACCAGUGUAACAUCUGUGAUCUUACUUCGUAAAUCUCUUGCCUUUUGUUUUUAAAGAAAGGACUGUCCAGCCAGCGAGGCCAGUUGAUUGGUGUUUAUUCUGACGAUAGACACAAGGAAGCACAUUACAUUUACAGGACAACAGUAUAACGAUGGCUGUAGAUUUGUGAUUCGUCACUUUCUUUAUUUGCAUCUUUCCGUUAGGGAUGCCCCACUCUGAAGUACGUGUGCAAAAGGUCAAGUUUACAAAACGCAGUCUCACUCCAGUGACAUCAGGGAUUGCUGACGUUGAGACUGGUGUUUUGCGGGUACUAUUUAAUGAAGCUGCCAGUUGAGGACUUGUGAGGCGUCUGUUUCUCAAACUAGACACUGUAAUGUACUUGUUCUCUUGCUCAGUUGUGCACCGAGGCCUCUUUCUAUUCUGGUUAGAGCUAGUUGGUGCUUUUAUGUGACUGGAGUAGUACACAGCAUUGUAUGGGAUCAUCAGUUCCUUGGCAAUUUCUUGCAUGGAAUAGCCUUCGUUUCUCAGAACACGAAUGGACUGACGAGUUUCAGAAGAAAGGUCUUUGCUUCUGGUCGUUUUGAGCCUGUAAUUGAACCCACAAAUGCUGAUGCUCCAGAUACUCAACUAGUUUAAAGAAGGCCAGUUUUAAUUGCUUUUUUUAAUCAGAACAACAGUUUUCAGCUGUGCUAACAAUUGCAAAAGGGUUUUCUAGCUAACACAACAUGCCAAUGGAACACAAGAGUGAUGGUUGCUGAUAAUGGGCCUCUGUACACCUAUGUAUAUAUUCCAUAAAAAAAUCUGCCGUUUCCAACUACAAUAGUCAUUUACAACAUUAACAAUGUCUACACUGUUUCUGAUCAAUUUUAUGCUAUUCUAAUGGACAAAUGUGCUUUUAAAUUAUUUUUAAAAAAAGAAGACAUUUCUAAGUGACCUCACUUUUGAACGGCAGUGUAUAUGUAAAGUACCAGUCAAAUUUGGACACACCUACACAUUCAAGGGUUUCUUUAUAUUUAUUAUUUUCGACAUUGUAGAAUAAUAGUGAAGACGUCAAAACAAACUAUGAAAUUACACAUGGAAUCAUGUAGUAACCAAAAAAAGUGUUAAAGAAAUCAAAAUAUAUUUUUGAUUUUUCAAAGUAGAUGCUCUUUGCCUUGAAGACAGCUAUGCACACUCUUCACAUUCUCUCAACCAGCUUCAUAAAGAAUGCUUUUCCAAUAGUCUUGAAGAAGUUCCCACGUAUGCUGAGCACUUGUUGGCUGCUUUUCCUUCACUCUGCAGUCCAACUCAUCCCAAACCCUUUCAAUUGUGUGAUUGUGGAGGCCAGGUCAUCUGAUACAGCACUCCAUCACUCUCCUUGGUCAAAUCGCACUUACAAAGCCUGGAAGUGUGUUGGGUCAUUGUCCUGUUGAAAAACAAAUAAUAGUCGUACUAAGUGCACACCAGAUGGGAAGGUGUAUCGCUGCAGAAUGCUGUGGUAGCCAUGCUGGUUAAGUCCGCCUUAAAUUCUAAAUAAAUGUCACCAUCACACCUCCUCCAUGCUUCACGGUGGGAACGACAGAGAUCAUCCGUUCAUCUACUCUGUGUCUCACAAAGACACGGCGGUUGGAACCAAAAAUCUCAAAUUUGGACUCCACCGGUCUAAUGUCCAUUGCUUGUCUUUCUUGGCCCAAGCAAGUCUCUUCUUAUUGGUGUCCUUUAGUCGUGGUUUCUUUGCAGCAAAUCGACCAUGAAGGCCUGAUUCACGCAAGUCUCCCCUGAACAGUUGAUGUUGAUGUGUCUGUUACUUGAACUCUGAAGCAUUUAUUUGGGCUGCAAUUUCUGAGGCUGGUACCUCUAAUUGGAUAAGUUCCCAAUGCAGCAGAGGUAACUCUGGGUCUUCCUUUCCUGUGGUAUUCCUCAUGAGAGACAGUUUCAUCAUCGCGCUUGAUGGUUUUUGCGACUGAAGAUAUUGAAGAAAAGUUAUUUAAAUGUUCUGUAUUCACUGACCUUCAUGUCUUAAGGUAAUGACGGACUGUUGUUUCUCUUUGCUUAUUUGAGCUGUUCUUGCCAUAAUAUGGACUUAUUUUACCAAAUAGGGCUGUCUUCUGUAUACCACCCCUAACUUUUACAACACAACUGAUUGGCUCAAAAGCAUUAAUAAGGAAAGAAAUUCCACAAAUGAACUUUUAAUAAAAGGAACACCUGUUAAUUGAAAUGCAUUCCAGGUGACUACCUCAUGAAACUGGUUGAGAAGAAUGCCAAGCGUGUGCAAAGCUAUCAUCAAGGCAAAGGGUGGCUACUUUGCAGAAUCUAAAAUAUAUUUUGAUUUGUUAAGCACUUUUUUGGUUACUACAUGAUUCCAUGUGUUAUUUGAUAGUUUUGAUGUCUUCACAAUUAUUCUACAAUGUAGAAAAUAGUAAAAAAAUAAAACCUGGAAUGAGUAGGUGUCCAAACUUUUGACUGGUACUGUAUAUACAGUGCAUUCGGAAAGUAUUCAGACCCCUUCCCUUUUGUCACAUUUUAGAAUAAGGCUGUAAUGUAUUACAUUUUAAAAGGUCAUCAAUCUACACACAUUACCCCAUAAUGCCGUGAUUGGGAGUCCCAUAGGGCGGCGCACAAUUGGCCCAGCGUCAUCCGGGUUAGAUCGUCAUUGUAUAUUAGAAUUUGUUCUUAACUGUUUUGCCUAGUCAAUUAAAGUUUAAUAAAUAAAGCGAAAAAUAUGUUUUUAGAAAUGUUUGCAAAUUUAUUUAAAAAAAUAAACAAACUCAGCAAAAAAAUAAACAUCCCUUUUUCAGGACCCUGUCUUUCAAAGAUAAUUCGUAAAAAUCCAAAUAACUUCACAGAUCUUCGUUGUAAAGGGUUUAAACACUUUUUCCCCAUGCUUGUUCAAUGAACCAUAAACAAUUAAUGAACAUGCACCUGGGCAGGUACAGUCACACUUAUGAAAACUUAGGACACUAAAGAGGCCUUUCUACUGACUCUGAAAAACACCAAAAGAAAGAUGCCCAGGGUGCCUGCUCAUCUGCGUGAACGUGCCUUAUGCAUGCUGCAAGGAGGCAUGAGGACUGCAGAUGUGGCCAGGGCAAUAAAUUGCAAUGUCCAUACUGUGAGACGCCUAAGACAACGCUACAGGGAGACGGGGCGGACAGCUGAUCAUUUUCGCAGUGGCAGACCACAUGUAACACCUGCACAGGAUCGGUACAUCUGAACAUCACACCUGAGGGACAGGUACAGGAUGGCAACAACAACUGCCCGAGUUACACCAGGAACGCACAAUCCCUCCAUCAGUGCUCAGACUGUCCACAAUAGGCUGAGAGAGGCUGGACUGUGGGCUUGUAGGCAUGUUGUAAGGCAGGUCCUCACCAGACAUCACCGGCAACAACGUUGCCUAUAGGCACAAACCCACUGUUGCUGGACCAGACAGGACUGGCAAAAAGUGCUCUUCAAGGACAAGUCGCAGUUUUGUCUCGCAAGGGGUGAUGGUCAGAUUUGCGUUCAUCAUCGAAGGAAUGAUCGAAGGAAUGAGCGUUACACCGAGGCCUGUACUCUGGAGCGGGAUUGAGGUGGAGGGUCCGUAAUGGUCUGGGGUGGUGUGUCACAGCAUCAUAGGACUGAGCUUGUUGUCAUUACAAGCAAUCUCAACACUGUGCGUUACAGGGAAGACAUCUUCCUCCCUCAUGUGUUACCCUCCCUGCAGGCUCAUCCUGACAUGACCCUCCAGCAUGACAAUGCCACCAGCCAUACUGCUCGUUCUGUGCGUGAUUUCCUGCAAGACAGGAAUGUCAGUGUUCUGCCAUGGCCAGCGAAGAGCCCGUAUCUCAAUCCCAUAGAGCAUGUCUGGGACCUGUUGGAUCGGAGGGCUAGGGCCAUUCCCCCCAGAAAUGUCUGGGAACUUGCAGGUGCCUUUGUGGAAGAAUGGGGUAACAUCUCACAGCAAGAACUGGCAUAUCUGGUGCAGUCCAUGAGGAGGAGAUGCACUGCAGUACUUAAUGCUGCUGGUGGCCACACCAGAUACUGGAUGUUACUUUUGAUUCUGACCCCACCCUUUGUUCAGGGACACAUUAUUCAAUUUCUGUUAGUCACAUGUCUGUGUGACUUAUUCAGUUUAUAUCUUAUUUACACAUGUUAAGUUUGCUGAAAAUAAAUGCAGUUGACAGUGAGAGGACGUUUAUUUUUUGGCUGAGUUUAUUAUUACAAUCCCAUAACCAGACUAGAGUUGUGUUUCCUUACUUGCCUCUGAGAACUUUGUAAUUUUUUAAAUAGCCAUGCAGUAGUCUGUCUCUGAACAACUGUUUUUCCAUCCAUUUUCCUUCAAUUGGAUACAGAACCUCACGCCGUUCUGCAAUUUCCUCCUGGAACUGGUUAUUCAUGCCAAUGUUCCCUUUUACACAGGCUUUUAACCAUUAUUUUAUAUUUAAAGAAAAUAAAUUUGAUAACGAUUUGGCGUUCAUACCUUAGUUGUAGUGGGGAAAGUAACAUCAGUUCUAAAAAAAUAUAUAUUUAGGGAAAAUGUUACUUGCUAAUGUUUGCUUAGCUUACAUAACACAAUUUAGAACUAUGCAUUAAGGGAAAUGGAAAGGGGGAUACCUAGUCAGUUGUACAACUGAAUGCAUUCAACUGAAAUGUGUCUUCCGCAUUUAACCCAACCCCUCUGAAUCAGAGAUAGAAGGAUAGAAA